AUGGCCGACGAAACGCCGAAGGUUAAAACAGAACCUGCGGCCGAGGUUAAAUCACCCUUGGAUGAAGUUAAGGAAAUUCGAAAAGAGGCAGAACUGACACAAACUGGGAGUGACGAAAAGAAAACCACGGACCCGGAAUUCAUCACAGUACAAGAUCCAAAUGGAGAUGAGCCAAUAGAACUUCCUACCGUUGAUGGUGUUGUCUUGAUGACUACAUUGCAAGCAUCGUUUCCGGGUGCUACUGGUUUGAAGUACAAAAAUCCAAAAACUGGAGCCAACCGAGCUGUUCAAGUCGAUCCCAGUGGUUUGAAAUUAAUUGCUCCAGCUGACGGCUGGGAAAAUAAAACGUUCUUCGUUAUUGUUGCCCCGCUGUGAUUCAGAGAGCGAGAGAGUCAGAGCGUUGUCAUCAGCUGACGCGACGAGUGCGAAGAGACGUAAAGUGGGAUCGAGUGACGACUCGGAUUCGGAUGACGGUCGUGACGGACGUUCGGGCAGGAAGAGAGCGGUUGAGAGAGACAGCCAGCCAGUUGACCUCAUCGUGCUCGGUGUGGACUUCAAAACGACUGACGAGUGCUUUCAGAAAUACUUCGAAGAUAUAGGAACUGUUGUGUUCUGUGAGAUAAAACGAAAGUCGGAUGGAAACUCAAAAGGAUUUGGAUUUGUCAGAAUGUCAUCAGUCGGUGAACAAAAUAAAGUAUUAGCUAUCCCACAGCACAUGAUUGAUGGUCGUCGUUGUGAUGUGAAAGUUCCAGAUGGAAGGAGUUUGCAGGACAAACAAGGUCGUCCAUCAAUCAGUCGAAUUUUUGUCGGAAGGCUCACAGACAAAGUAGACGAACAUCAACUGCGAAAAGUGUUUGGAGAUGAAGCAAAAAGCUAUAUAGAGACUGCAGUAGUUACCGAUGUGUUCAUCCCAAAACCAUUCAGAGGCUUUGCAUUCGUUACGCUGUCGAGCGCCGAAGCCGCGGAAAGAAUUGUCAGCAAAGGAUCGCUAACUGUCAACGGUUUAUCAGUUGGAUUGAGCAUCGCACAGCCUCGAGAAGAGAAUAAUCAAUCAGUUGGCCCUGAUUAUGGCCUUCCAGCUGGCUACCGUAACCGCAGAGAACGUGAUCGACCGGAUAGACGACCGAUUCAAAAUGAAGCACCUCUGCCCAUGCCAUUCGUCCGCCCACCACAAGAUUACUCAUACCGUCAGCAAAAUUCUCCCCUCGAGAGGAGAUACUGGGCACCUGGAGACUCGAGAGGACCAGGAUGGUGA
rnacentral:misc_RNA from 1 species